rnacentral:rRNA from 1 species
UACGUAGGGGGCUAGCGUUGUCCGGAAUCAUUGGGCGUAAAGCGCGUGUAGGCGGUCCGGUAAGUCCGCUGUGAAAGUCGAGGGCUCAACCCUCGAAUGCCGGUGGAUACUGUCGGGCUAGAGUGCGGAAGAGGCGAGUGGAAUUCCUGGUGUAGCGGUGAAAUGCGCAGAUAUCAGGAGGAACACCUAUUGCGAAGGCAGCUCGCUGGGACGGUACUGACGCUAAGGCGCGAAAGCGUGGGGAGCGAACAGG